ACCAGUGCCCAUAUUUUGAAACUGUACGUUCACAAGGACUGUUUUCACAUUGUUAGGUUCUUAAGAUGUUUUUUUGCCAUUGAUGAUGCACAAUCUUUAAAUUAUCACAGAAAUUAUUAAAACCCCAGUAACUUCACUAUAUAACCUGUAAGAAGCUGUACAGUUGAGACGCCGAAAUGUUUGAGAAUACAACCUUAGUAAUGAUUGUUUCCAGCGUGGCAAUUAGAUUGUCUGAUGGUAGUUAGGAAAUUGUGGUUCGUAGGUGAUGUGGUAGUUUAAUUGUUACGUGUGAAGAGGGAAAUUUCCGCCGGAUAAACGUGCUAGGGAUUUUUCUUCAAAAUAAAUAAACAAAACAUUAAACUGACCAAAUAUUGAACACGAGUCUCAUGAAACAAAAUCUGACAUUGGUCUCGAAUAGCCACAGGAAGAAAUUAAUUAUUUUUCCUGGAGAAAAAUGGUAGUGGAGAAUCCAACUGCUUUUUUUGAGACAUUGAAUGGUCUUGAAUUAUUGUUCUAAUUAUAUGUUUGACCUAAAAAGUCCUUACAAAUUUCUGUUGGAGCUUGACGUUUUUUUUUAGAUUUUCAUUGUGGGUAUUGUGGUGAUCUUGACAUUUUUUUUGCCAUAUCCACUUUGAUGUACUCUGUGGUGCAGUUACUAACGGGCUGGCCGCGAAUCCACUCCCGUGUUGAUGAUAUUGCUCUUUUCCUUUUUUUUUUUUUUUUUUCCAACCCUUUAGGGAAGCCAUAGAACGCUUGACGUGAUCUUAGAUUUGUGAUUGUGGCAAAGCAAACUCAGUCGUUCGUUGCCUCAAAAACUGGAAUUCCUCCAUCUAUCGACUCGCCACAACCUUCCAAAUCAUUAUUCCCUCUUCAGUCAUGCAACUGCUCACCUCUUUUACACUAAACAUCCUUGUUCAGUCCUUUACUCUCACUAUGUAACACGAUUUUUGUCUUUGACAAGCAAGUGUUAUUUUCCAACUCCUUUCAUUACAAAAUAAUAGAAAAUGUCUAUUAUUCCUGCCAAACUUUGCGUUUGUGGCUUUCAGAAUUUUUUUUUUUUGGGGGGGGGGGCCCAAAAAUAGUUAAAUUUCACCGUUUUUCCAGAUGCUGUCACAGAGAACUUUGCUCUUGGGAUGAAUUGACCACAUAUUUAGCAGAAUGCAUCUGGAGAAUGCAGCCUCUUGAUGCUACUUCAUCUCAUGUGAUAUGUCUUCUCAGGUUGAUUGAUAAAUGGAUUCCUUGGAAAACCUGGUAAAUUAAACCAUGGAUGGAAACAUGAAUACCACAGUGACUCGGUUUCAUGGGAUAAAGGAUGUUGUCUAUCAUAGACUCAAAGGCCAAUGAGAGAUGAAUACCUAGGCCACAAGCAACUGUUGUUGAUGUUUUUGAGAUAUAAUGAUGACCAUGGGAAUUUUGUGGAAGGCAGAUUUUUUUUAGCUGGAGACAAGAACAAGGCUAAAAACAUGCCACAUGCUUACUGCAGAUCAAUGUAUUUUGUCCUCCUUGCCCAAAAAAUCUUACAUUUCCUCAGGUCCACAUCUUUAUUGGGGGAGGGAUGGAGAUAUUAUUUUUAAAAUAUAUGGAUCUGAAGAAGAAAAGAAAAAAGUGUGCUGUGUAGAUCCAGGUGCAUUAAACUGAAGUUGUUAAAGUAUCUCUUUACCCUUUACUCUGGAAGAAUAUGGCUAUCACAUCAGACUUUGACAUGUCUUGUUACUAUUUCUAGCGCAUACGACAUGACUGUCCAUUUCAGAGAUGUAUAAUUUUUCAACAAUACUCAUAACUCUUUAGCAAACAGAUUAAUUGAGAUCUUACUUAGGCAAUGUGUUUCAGACAUUUUUGUCACUAUGGUCAAGUAAUAAAAAUAGUUACUACAGA